UAUGUGAUCGUCUCUCGCAUAUCAAUAAGCGGAGGAAAAGAAACUAACAAGGAUUCCCCUAGUAACGGCGAGUGAAGCGGGAAGAGCUCAAAUUUGAAAUCUUAAAGGGUUUCCCUUUACGAAUUGCUAGUUUAAAGAAGUGUUUUCUGUUGAGGUUUUGGUAAAAGUUCUUUGGAAUAGGACAUCAUAGAGGGUGAGAAUCCCGUAUUUGACCUUUACUUUCAACUUUGUGAUACACUUUCAAAGAGUCGGAUUGUUUGGGAAUGCAGUCCAAGAUGGGUGGUAAAUUUCAUCUAAAGCUAAAUAUUGGCGAGAGACCGAUAGCGAACAAGUACCGUGAGGGAAAGAUGAAAAGAACUUUGAAAAGAGAGUUAAACAGUACGUGAAAUUGUCAGAAGGGAAGCGUUUGACACCAGUGUUGUUUUUCUGAAAAUCAAUUAAAGAACUGUUUAUGCAUAAGCUGUUUAGACUUUAUCAGCUAACUGUUUAGUUUUGAGCUUUUCUUUAAUGCACUUUUCAGUUAACAAGUCAACAUCAAUUUCUUUUGCUGUAAAAAAGCUUGAGGAAGGUGGCUUGAGAUUCGUCUUAAGUGUUUAUAGCCUCUUGCCUAUGCAGUCGGAGAGAUUGAGGUCUGCAGCGUAGAUCCUUCGGGGCUAAAUGCAUUUGUGCUAAGUUAUAGCAUUUUAUAGACAACUUGUUGACUAUGAUUUGUCUUGUAGCUUACUCGCUUAUGUUAUUUUACCUACGCUUAGGAUGUUGAAGACUCUACAGAGAUA
rnacentral:rRNA from 1 species